rnacentral:lncRNA from 1 species
CAGAGGACCAAGUACAGCGAACAAGUCCUCAUGACAGAGGUGGGAUGGGAUGAUGAGGCCCCUACAGGCAAAGGAAGAGCAUAGCCUAAAGCAAGAGAUGGCUGCUAACCCAAGGGGAACCUAACAGAUGUAAGGAGAACUCAGCAACUGGCAACCUUUAUCCCACAUUCUCACAAAGAGUCCUAAACAUACCAUCUGGACACAGACAUCCAGGUGUUUGCAUGCUGAAAAAAACACCUUUAUUCACACUUCAUGGUGUUCUUGUGGGAAUAAAGGUAUGAGUAUGAAUGGGCCAAAUCAGUUUUACUUCAGAUUUAAUUUUAAAACAAAACCUGAAGUGCAAUCAGGAGACAUAACAAUAAGACCAUGCUGGUCUGAACAUCCCAAGAUAUUUGAAGGUUUGGAAAGCUACCAUGACUUACCUAGAGAAGAAAGGAAGAGUGAACAAGCUGGAACAAAAUAGAUUCCCCUGACCCCAUCUCAGAAACUCUUAUUACAUCUCUCAUACUUUUUCUUAAAGGAGCCAAUAUAUGGAGGUGUCAGGGGAAUCUGUCCAACAAUAAUUUUUUCUUUAAAGUGAUCUUGAAACUCUAACUUCUAGUAAUAUAAGUGCUUUUGACUUGUAUAUUGUGGAAACAGCAUUUCUUUUAAUGUACAGCAUAUUCUCACAGUUUUCACUUAGCAAAAGUAAUGAUAAUGCCAGCUGUAUCUAUCCAAAUCUGUCUCUACUUACCACAAGGCAAAAUUUGAAUUCACAUUAAGACACAUUUUUCAUGCAGCCUAUUAUUCAAUCUUAACAAAUACUUAAGAACAAUCUUCAAAGUACAGGUUACCAAAAACUCCAAUUGAAGUGCUUAUGGAUUUUUUUUAUUUUUAUUUUUUAAUAGGUGGGAAGGGAGCUUAGAAUCAUUAUAAGUAACUUCACUGAAAACAGACAAGGGGAAGGCAGUACUUUAAUUGCUCAACAUUAAACAACUGCAGAACCCAGGAACACUUACCUGCCAGCUUCUGAACUUGAGUCACUUCAAAACUGCUUCCCAGUGAAGUAGUACCACCAGGGUUUUACUGUACUGAGAAGACACCACCAACAGAAUUAGCUCAUAGAGCCUCUAAAACUCUUUCACAGAAACGGUGGAAAACACAGAGACAAAGCAGCCUACUGAGGAACACUGAGUCUAUUUCACCAUGACGAUAGAAAAGCACCCUAGGUAACCUGAGCCCCAAACUCCCCUAGAGAGACAAUUCCUCCCCAUGCCUCCUCAUGAUUCCUAUAUAGCAAAGGUCAUAUGAUCCACAGCUGACAGAUUUCACUUAAUAAGGGUGGAGCCAACAGACCUUGUGGAAUAGGUUCAUCUACCUGGCUUCAAUGAUUUAAGGUCAAUUGCUCCUUAUUGCUAAGAGAAAUAACCUGACAAGGGGCUUAGCGGUUAGAGGUGACCUAAUGAAUUAACUACAAAAGGUGC